GUAGGUGGCAAGCGUUGUCCGGAAUUAUUGGGCGUAAAGCGCGCGCAGGCGGUCCUUUAAGUCUGAUGUGAAAGCCCACGGCUCAACCGUGGAGGGUCAUUGGAAACUGGGGGACUUGAGUACAGAAGAGGAAAGCGGAAUUCCAAGUGUAGCGGUGAAAUGCGUAGAGAUUUGGAGGAACACCAGUGGCGAAGGCGGCUUUCUGGUCUGUAACUGACGCUGAGGCGCGAAAGCGUGGGGAGCAAACAGGGAUUAGAUACCCUGGUAGUCCACGCCGUGAACGGUGAGUGCUAAGUGUUAGGGGGCUUCCGCCCCCUUAGUGCUGCAGCUAACGCAUUAAGCACUCCGCCUGGGGAGUACGGCCGCAAGGCUG
rnacentral:rRNA from 1 species